rnacentral:RNase_P_RNA from 1 species
GGAGUCGGCCGGACAGUCGCGUCAUCAGCACCAUCGAUGCCGAGGAAAGUCCGGGCUCCACAGGGCACGGUGCCAGGUAACGCCUGGGCGGCGCGAGCCGACGGAAAGUGCAACAGAAAGAUACCGCCCAAGACUGCCUCGAGCAGGACGGCAAGGGUGAAAUGGUGCGGUAAGAGCGCACCGCGAGCCUGGUAACAGGCCGGCACGGCAAACCCCACCGGGAGCAAGACCAAAUAGGGACCUCAUGACGUGGCCCGCGUCGGGUCCGGGUAGGUUGCUCGAGCGUAUCGGUGACGAUGCGCCUAGAGGAAUGACUGUCCACGACAGAACCCGGCUUACAGGCCGGCUCCGCCA